rnacentral:rRNA from 1 species
CCUACGGGGGGCAGCAGUGGGGGAUAUUGCACAAUGGGGGAAACCCUGAUGCAGCGACGCCGCGUGGGCGAAGAAGUAUUUCGGUAUGUAAAGCCCUAUCAGCAGGGAAGAAGAAAUGACGGUACCUGAGUAAGAAGCACCGGCUAAAUACGUGCCAGCAGCCGCGGUAAUACGUAUGGUGCAAGCGUUAUCCGGAUUUACUGGGUGUAAAGGGAGCGCAGGCGGCACGGCAAGCCUGAUGUGAAAGCCCGCGGCCCAACCGCGGGACUGCAUUGGGAACUACCGGGCUGGAGUGCCGGAGAGGUAGGCGGAAUUCCUAGUGUAGCGGUGAAAUGCGUAGAUAUUAGGAGGAACACCAGUGGCGAAGGCGGCUUACUGGACAGUAACUGACGUUGAGGCUCGAAAGCGUGGGGAGCAAACAGGAUUAGAUACCCUUGUAGUC